rnacentral:misc_RNA from 1 species
AAGACUAUAGACCUGCGGAGUACCUGCGGAAGGAUCAUUACCGAGUUUACAACUCCCAAACCCCUGUGAACAUACCAAUUGUUGCCUCGGCGGAUCAGCCCGCUCCCGGUAAAACGGGACGGCCCGCCAGAGGACCCCUAAACUCUGUUUCUAUAUGUAACUUCUGAGUAAAACCAUAAAUAAAUCAAAACUUUCAACAAUGGAUCUCU